rnacentral:rRNA from 1 species
AGAUACCCUAUUAUUUUAGAAUAAUAAAUUGUAAGUAAAUAUAAAUUACGAAAGCAAAAAAUUAUGGCGGUAUCUUAAGCUUUUCAGAGGAAUUUGCUCUUUAAUGGAUAAAACACCCAAAUCUUACUUAGAUUGGYUAAAUCAGUUUGUAUACCACUAUAAAAAUUAUAAUUUACUUUUAUUAUUUCUCUUCUUUAAAGAAAUAAAUUAAGUCAAGGUGCAGCUAAAAUUUAAGGUUGAAGUGAAUUACAUUUCUUUAAAGAAAUGAAAUAAUGAAAUAAAAUAUAGGAUUUGAUAGUAAAAUUAAAAUAGAAAGUUAAUUUGAAUUAAGCUCUAAGAUAUGUACAUAUCGCCCGUCACUCUUUAUUAAGAUAAGUCGU